rnacentral:lncRNA from 1 species
GUUUAAGUCCUGGCGAAAAUAUAAUAUUGUCAGCAAAAAGCCUAAAAAAUCAAUUGAGCCGGUGUUGGAAUCCGAGGAAUUACUUUUCGUUCAACCAGAGAGAGAGGUCCGCGAGAGACGACAUUCAGAAAGACGUCGCUCGAGCGUCGCACCUAAACAUAUGUUUGAAGAGUUACCCACAUUCCACAUGAAAUCGGGGCGAGAAUAUGUCACAAAGAUGCCAAUGCAACCAUUAGCCCAGGUUGUUUGUUCGUUCAUUAUAAUAGAUUAUAAAGAUUAUGUGAAGUGUUAAUACCACUUUAUAAUGCCUUGG